rnacentral:rRNA from 1 species
UACGAAGGGAGCUAGCGUUGUUCGGAAUCACUGGGCGUAAAGCGCACGUAGGCGGAUGUGUCAGUCAGGGGUGAAAUCCCGGAGCUCAACUUCGGAACUGCCUUUGAUACAGCACGUCUUGAGUCCGGAAGAGGCGAGUGGAAUUCCUGGUGUAGCGGUGAAAUGCGCAGAUAUCAGGAGGAACACCAGCAGCGAAGGCGGCGCUCUGGGCUGGAACUGACGCUGAGGAGCGAAAGCGUGGGUAGCAAACAGG